ACUAACGCUUGCGGCGUGCUUAACACCUUCAAGUCGAACGGAAAGGCCCUGCUUUUGUGGGGUGCUCGAGUGGCGAACGGGUGAGUAACACGUGAGUAACCUGCCCUUGACUUUGGGAUAACUUCAGGAAACUGGGGCUAAUACCGGAUAGGAGCUCCUGCUGCAUGGUGGGGGUUGGAAAGUUUCGGCGGUUGGGGAUGGACUCGCGGCUUAUCAGCUUGUUUGUGGGGUAGUGGCUUGCCAAGGCUUUGACGGGUAGCCGGCCUGAGAGGGUGACCGGCCACAUUGGGACUGAGAUACGGACCAGAAUGCUACGGGAGGCAGCAGUGGGGAAUAUUGCACAAUGGGCGGACGCCUGAUGCAGCAACGCCGCGUGCGGGAUGACGGCCUUCGGGUUGUAAACCGCUUUCGCCUGUGACGAAGCGUGAGUGACGGUAAUGGGUAAAGAAGCACCGGCUAACUACGUG
rnacentral:rRNA from 1 species